CUGUUGACCAGGUACACACCCCAGGACUCUACAAUACACACCUAGAGAGAUGGUUAACACACUACCCUGUUGACCAGGUACACACCCCGGGACUCUACUAUAGACACCUAGAGAGAUGGUUAACACACUACCCUGUUGACCAGGUACACACCCCGGGACUCUACAAUACACACCUAGAGAGAUGGUUAACACACUACCCUGUUGACCAGCUGAUGGUUAUAGAUGGACAGCAGUUGAGGAGAGAUCCAGCUGCUGUGAUGGAGGAGGUCCAGAAGGUCCUGGGGAUUACUCCUCACUACAACUACACACAGACUCUACGGU